rnacentral:rRNA from 1 species
GAUGAACGCUGGCGGCGUGCUUAACACAUGCAAGUCGAACGGAAAGGCUCCUGCUUGCAGGGGUACUCGAGUGGCGAACGGGUGAGUAACACGUGGGUGAUCUGCCCUGCACUUCGGGAUAAGCCUGGGAAACUGGGUCUAAUACCGGAUAGGACCACAUUUUGGAUGGUGUGGUGGAAAGUUUUUCGGUGUGGGAUGAGCUCGCGGCCUAUCAGCUUGUUGGUGGGGUAAUGGCCUACCAAGGCGUCGACGGGUAGCCGGCCUGAGAGGGUGUACGGCCACAUUGGAACUGAGAUACGGGCCAGACUCCUAAGGGAGGCAGGAAGGGGGAAUAUUGCACAAUGGGCGCAAGCCUGAUGCAGCGACGCGGCGUGGGGGAUGAGGGCCUUCGGGUUGUAAGCUCCAUUGGCUAGGGACGAAGCGUUUUUGUGACGGUACCUGGAGAAGAAGCACCGGCUAACUACGUG